rfam:Streptomyces sp. CB02056 scaffold30, whole genome shotgun sequence.
CUUCACCGACCCCAGCCACAACGGCCGCUCCUCGUAACGCUCCUGGCCGUACGUCGCCAGCAGCGCGCCCGCCUC